UACGGAGGAGGCAAGUGUUAUCCGGAAUUAUUGGGCGUAAAGCGUCCGUAGGUGGCUAGUCAAGUCUGCGGUCAAAGACUGGGGCUUAACCCUGGAAAGGCCGUGGAAACUGACGAGCUAGAGUGCAGUAGGGGUAGAGGGAAUUCCCGGUGUAGCGGUGAAAUGCGUAGAGCUCGGGAAGAACAUCGGUGGCGAAAGCGCUCUACUGGACUGCAACUGACACUCAGGGACGAAAGCUAGGGGAGCGAAUGGG
rnacentral:rRNA from 1 species